rnacentral:rRNA from 1 species
GACGAACGCUGGCGGCGUGCUUAACACAUGCCAGUCGAACGGAAAGGCCCUGCUUUUGUGGGGUGCUCGAGUGGCGAACGGGUGAGUAACACGUGAGUAACCUGCCCUUGACUUUGGGAUAACUUCAGGAAACUGGGGCUAAUACCGGAUAGGAGCUCCUGCUGCAUGGUGGGGGUUGGAAAGUUUCGGCGGUUGGGGAUGGACUCGCGGCUUAUCAGCUUGUUGGUGGGGUAGUGGCUUACCAAGGCUUUGACGGGUAGCCGGCCUGAGAGGGUGACCGGCCACAUUGGGACUGAGAUACGGCCCAGACUCCUACGGGAGGCAGCAGUGGGGAAUAUUGCACAAUGGGCGGAAGCCUGAUGCAGCAACGCCGCGUGCGGGAUGACGGCCUUCGGGUUGUAAACCGCUUUCGCCUGUGACGAAGCGUGGGUGACGGUAAUGGGUAAAGAAGCACCGGCUAACUACGUG